GUCUAGACAAAAAUAUCAGUCUAACAUCGGAAUCACGCAAGGCUUGAUGUCGCAAACACUAAGGUACUUCAGUGGUGCAUAAGGCGUGUCAAGCUACGAGAUACCCCGGCCUCCAGCUAUGACGCAGAAGAAUAAAAGAGGGGAGCAUCCAGCAUCCCUCGCGCACUAUAAAAGGAGGAGGACUAAGCGCGGACACACAACAACAGUCUACACAACACCAGUCUCCAGAGCAUCGCAAGCACCAGAGCACCACUUCCCUCACUCUCCUUAGUAGUAGUAGUAGUAGUAGCCAUCUCCAGUUUGUAAUAAGCCUUUGAGGCAUUGUAUCAUCCAGUGGUGGAGGCAGGCAGAAGGUAGUCCUCGUUUUCUCUUUGUAAUCCCUUCGAGGUCUCCCGAAAGGGAAAUCCGUAUGUAAAUUAUGUUGUCAAAGUGAAGUAGUUUCGGGUUUUACUUGGUUUUUAUAUUAUGAAUUUAUGAAACGAGUUCUUACGCUAGGGAUCCUAUAGGAGAAACCUCUGCCGGUAGUUCUCUAUUUAGUCGAUGUGUGGCGUUUGAAUGAGAACCUUGUGGCCGUAGAGAAGUGUUCCCUUCGGCUGGAACUGCCUGGGAAGAUGGUAGGAAGUCAUAAAAUAAAUUUGUAGUAUAAACAUCAAGUGAAAGAACUUAGCUGCUUCUGAAGCAACAUAAUGAUGAAUACGGAGAGUACCGAGUAGGAUUAACACAACUGCUGCAUACCCGUAGGCUGUCUCGUUGGUUUCGCCAACCCGUAAAAGAUCCUGCAUUUUAAUUAAGAAUUAGUUAAUUAAAUAAUUUCACAAAAUUUAAAUUACGUAAGAAUUUAAUAAAUACUUUAUAUUUUAAUUUAUUAUAUUUUGUGUGUUGGUAUCUCAGCCAGAGUUUUAAUCAUUGAAAGACUAAAGUAUUUAAAUUUAGAAAUUAGUACAGGUAGACUGAUCUCUACCAAAGAAAAUAUUAGCAUACGGUGCAGAAUAAAUCCUUCUGAAGAUCAUACGUGGCAUACUACUCAUAGCCAACUAAAUUUAAUUGUCGACCUCAUUCAUAACUUUUAUAUAAUUUGGGGGAAAAGGCAAGAUAAUUUAGACCAAAAAUUUGAAAGUCUGUUAAAAGAACCCAAUAAGUUAGUAGAAAAAUACGCAGGCUUGAAUAAUAAAAUCGAUCUAGUUCUAUAGAAAUUAGAAGAAUUGAAAGGUAGAAACCUUAUAAUUUGUAAGAACAACGACUAUAUUAAAGAAGAAGUUUUAUCCAUUAGUAAGAAUCUAAGUGGUGUCGUAAAUAAGAAUAAAGAUUCAUUAUCAGGUGCUGAAAUAAGACGCGAUAUACUUGAAGUUAAAAGAUUAAUACAAGAAGUAAAGACUCUUGUCGGAUCAUAACUUGAAUGAGUGAAUAUUGCCAAGCAUUAAAAGAAGUAGAAAAAUACUUAACACCUUCUCUCGGAUUUUCAUAUCACAAUUCGCCAAAAGAAGAUUCUAGAAUAAUUAUAAGGCAGAAUAACACAAUUCUACAACUACUAGUCCAGAUUUUGGAAAAGCUAAAUACUAAACGAGGUAACAACGAGUUGAUAUUAUCUUCAUCCGGAAUAGUCUCAUCCUCUAAAAAUAUUAAUUCUGAAAAAUGGAACUAUCUAAAAACCUCUCUAGAAGAGACAAGACCAUCCAGUUAAUAAGGCAAGAUUCUAGGCCGCUAACCAUGAUGAAUAGGAUAUCAUGCAGAAGUGACGACAUAGAUAAUUUAGAGGAGGUUAUAGACAUGGAACGCGAAUGAGAAAGAUAUUAGAGAGACAUGUUAAGAAAAAUAAGACCGAAAUAGGUAUAUCACAUGGGCAUAUUUGAAAGUAAAAGCGGAUUAUACAGAAUAUCUAGAGAAGUAGAAUUAAGUGUGUUAACGCAUCCGGUUGAUUUAAGAAUUGUUAGCAAAAUUAUUGAUAAUGAACUUAAAUAUUCAGGUUACAAAUAUAUUCACCAAGGGAUGUAUAUUAUAGGAGUAAAAGGAAUGACAAGAAAGAAAUUAGGAACAAAGGUAUUAAUUACAUUGCUUGAUAAAAGAUGGGAGUCGAUAGACAAAGCAUCAUUAGGCUUUAUGGAAGGAGAUAUGAAUGAAAAUAGAUUAAUAACAUAUAUAGCUCCAGACUUAAUGAUGCAUGUAAAAGAAUUUAUUGAGAAAAUGAGCUUUGGGUUUCAAACCAAAGGAUAUGAAGAUUUUAAAGGAGCAAAUUUGUUAGUAAGCAUUGAAUUCAUAGGAAGACUCACGAAUAAAAGCAGCUCUAGAUACAAAGUAAACGUAAAUGACGUAAUAGAGAGCAUGCAAUCUAAAGGCAUAAAAUUUAUGAGCCCUCUUAAAAUUGGUUCUGAAGAGAGAGUAGGAGAAGAAUGGAAUAUAAGCGAAUUAAUAGAAAAAAAAGAGUUGAAGCAGCCAGAAAAUUAUAUAAGCUACCAAAAUAGCGAAAGAAGUAGUAGCAUUAGAUUCUUGAACUAUAAAUCCGCAGCCGUAGACGAAAUAGAACCUCUUUUGUCAGAAGCAGAGAGUAGUGAUAGUAGGAAUAAAGGAGUAAAAGAAUGCACGGAAAAGGCAGACUUAGAAGAUGAAUUAAAACAUUGGGAAGAAAAAUUAAAACGCAUAAACUGGGAAUAUAAUAAUUCAAUGACAUCAGAUUGGCCUAAAAUAAGAGAAAGAUAAUUAUUCUUUAUUAGAGAAAUUUCGAGAAUAAAAAGAUUAAUAAAGGAUAAAAAACCAGUCAUUAGUAACCCAGUGGUGCCAAAGAAUAAUAUUAAACGCGAAGAAAAUAUCGAUAUUAAGAAUAAAGCCGAAAGUCAUAAGGAGAAAGCCAUAAGUGAAGAAGAUCAAUGGGAUAUCAAUAAUAAGCUAUUAUUAGAAAGUUAUGAAGAAGAAGAAGAACCAUGGGAUGAAUAUGAAGAUAAAAUUAUAUUGAUUCUGAGCAAAAUGCUAAUUUUAUAAACUCAUUAGAUGACGAAAGUCUACAUAAUUUAGAAAAUGCGAUGGAAGCCAUGGAAGUAGAUUUAGGUGGUCAUAAAAGAAGAAGAGGAUAUGGCGAGUCAUCUGUAAAAAGAGAAGGAGAAAGAGAGAGACCUACUCGAUCUGCUGGAAAAUGGCCUCCUGAAAAAGAUGAUUAUCAACCUACAUAUAUCCCUGGACAAUAUACAUUUAUGGGUUCUAAAAGAAGAGGUUUUGAAAAAGUAGUGCAGUUCCAAAACUCUAGGAAUGAUGGUGCAAUUCUGAAUUUAGCAGCCCAUGACCCUGUAGAUUGGCUGAAUAUAAUUAGUGUGUGGAAAGGAUCAAUAGUCCAAAAAUAUAUACAAAAUCAAUAUAAUAUAGGGAAUAAGGUGGAAGAUAUGAUAACAUAUCUUGAAACAUUUUUUGGGAGAAUCAGUAAAAAUAUUAUGGGAACAAUGGGUAGAGACAUAUCCAGACCAAUACGAAGAACUAAAAAGAGCUGGAAGUAAUCCUAAUAACUUUGCCAAUGUCAUAUCAAAUAUGGUCAUAGCAGAAGAUCCAGAAUUUGGUCAUACCACAUUGCAAAAUGAAAGGUUGAGAGAAAUAGAAAAAUUAACUUUAACAAGUUGGAAAGGUAUAAAGGAAUUUUCUCAACAUUAUUUAUACAAUGCUACCACAGCUAAGCAAGGGUACAAUAAAGGUGUGGUUGAAAGGUAUUUUAAUAAGUUACCAGACCCGUUAGGAUCAAUAAUAUUUGAAGAAUACAAGAAAGAUACCGCGGGCAUAGACAUAAAUAUAUCUCAAGCUAUAACUUUCGUGUUUAAACAUCUUAGAAAGGUAUGUACAAGUAUACAAACCCAGAGGUCUAUGAAGAAAUCCGAUUAUAAUUUUUGCAAUAAAAUUGUCCAAAUACCACUAACAUAUGGCGAAGAAAGAGACAAGAGUAAGAAAUAUUAUAAACCACAAAGAGAUAAUAGAAAUUUUAGAACAAAGAAAAGAUAUUUCUUACGAAGAUCAGAUAAUAGAACCCCAUUCUUGCAUAAAAGAAAUAUUAGAAGAUAUAAUCCUAGAAAAUCAUAUGAUAAAACAUGUAGAUGUUUCAUAUGCAAUUCACCCGAUCAUUUAAGUAAAACUUGCCCUAAUAAAGAUCAGAAAAGGUACUCUAGUAAAUAUGAAGAGCAAGAGAGAGUAUUAAUUAUAGAUAGUGUUAAUGAGAAUAUAUUAGUAUGUGAUGAUGAAAUAAAAGAUGACGAGUCAAUAUACUCCAUCAUAGAAACAGAUGAAAUAGAAAAUGAAGAGCUAGAAGAAGAAUCUAGUGAAGAUGAAAUAGAUUUAAUAGAUGAUCUAUGAGGAUUAAAAGUAGAGAUGAUGAACCAGGUAGAUUGUGAACAUGAUUGGAUUAGGGGAAAAUGAGAUUAUAAUAUAAAAUGUGCCUUUUGCAUAUAUUACCCCAGCCAAGAGAAUAGGUAUACAUGUAGUUUAUGUUUAAGACAAGCUUGUAACUCAUGCCUAAAAUCUACGAAUCAAAGGUGGAGACAAGAAAUAGAAUAUGAACCUGAAGAUAGAAUAUUAUCUAGCAGAGUUAGAAAUCUAGAAAAUAGACUAAAUAAGUUAGAGGCAGAACUAGAAGAUCUAAAAUCUAACUUAAAAAACAAAGCAAAUACAAAGGAAGAGAACAUUGUAGUUAAAGGCACUGAAAUGAAAAAGCAAAUGAUAACAGUAAGAGAUAAAAAUGGAGAUAGAUUAAUUCAAUUAAGAGAUGCCAUAACCAAUUUUGGAAAUAAAUAUAUAGUGAGGUUGCCAUUUAAAGAAGUUCUAGGAAUAAAGAUUCCGGUUAGAAUAGUAUUAAAACCAAAUAUUUCCUAUAAAAUUUUAGCCUUAUAACCUUAUUAGAUACAUGGUGCAUAAAAAAUAUCAUUCAUGACAAGUACUUCAUUAAGUGUCCUGAAAUAGUAAAAACUAUAGAUGAUAACAAAGCUGAGGUAUCUACAGAUAUGUCGGGUAUAAAGAAAAUCCAUAACCAGUUAGCAUAUAACAUAGAAACAUAUAUUAACGGUACAAAAUAUAUAAUAGACGAAAUCACAAUUAGAGAUUUAUCAGUAAUAAAUGAUGACAUGAUUUUAGGAUUAAGAUUUUUACAACAUUCUCUCCAAACCACUAUUAUACAUGAAGAAGGUGUUACAUUUGUACCGUAUCAAGAUAAUGUCCCAUACAUAUCUGAAGUACGAAAACAAAGAAAGGUUGUACAACUAGCUGAAAUAUCCAACGCGAAAGAUGAAUAUGAUACUACAGCAGAAUCCCCUAAAACCUACAAUGAAGAAGAUCUUAGUGAAGCUAUAGAAGAAUAUCAUAUAGAAAAUACUUCCAUGGAGUGCAUAGGACUACAAUCAUUUGCACCAAAUUGGUAUAGAGAUAUAAAGUCCAAAAAGGAUAUAGACAAGAUUGUGCAAAGGUUAGAAGAUAUAUAAAUUAUAGGAGAAAUACCAAUGAAACAUUGGGACAAGAACUCCAUAAUUUGUAAGAUAAACAUCAUAAACCCAGAUUAUAUAAUCAAAUCAGGCCCAAUAGAAGCUACACCAAAAGAUAUAGAGGAAUUUAAGAUGCAUAUUGAAGAAUUGUUAAAAUUAAGAGCAAUCAGAGAGAGCAAAAGUCCUCACCAUUCAGCUGCAUUUAUGCUUAGAAAUCAUGCUGAAGAAGCUAGGGGUAAGUCUAGGAUGGUAAUUAAUUUUAAAAGACUUAAUGAUAAUACGGUAGAUGAUGCCUACAAUAUACCUAAUAAACAAGAACAGAUAAAUAGAAUCCAAGGGAGCAAAUAUUUUUCAAAAUUUGACUUAAAAGCAGGAUUCUGGCAAGUAAAGAUGGCAGAGGAAUCUAUUCCUUGGACAACUUUCACUUGUCCACUAGGCCAUUAUGAAUGGAUAGUAAUGCCAUUGGGUCUAAAGAAUGCACCUGCAUUAUUUCAAAGAAAAAUGCAGAACAUAUUCAAUGAGAAUCAAGCAUUCAUAUUGGUAUAUGUAGAUGAUUUGCUGGUCUUCUCAAAAUCAUAUAAAGAGCAUAUAGCUCAUCUUGAAGUCUUCUUUAGAAAGGUAGAACAAAAUGGACUCAUACUAUCUAAAAAGAAAAUGGAAAUUUGUAGAGAGAAAAUAAAUUUCCUUGGUCAUGAAAUAGGAGAAGGAAAAAUAUAUUUACAAGAACAUAUUGCAAAGAAAAUUUUGCAAUUCCCUGAUAACAUGAGUGAUAAAAAGAUAUUGCAACAAUUCUUAGGAAUUGUAAAUUAUGCAAGGAAUUAUAUAGAUAACCUAGCAAAGCUUGCUGGACCUUUAUAUGCUAAAUUAAGAAAGAAUGGUCAAAGAUAUUUUAACUCAGAAGAUAUAAAACUAGUAAGGACCAUUAAAGACAAGGUCAAUAAUUUGAAACCUUUAGAAUUACCAUUAGAAGACUAUUACUUUAUAAUUGAAACCGAUGCCUCUAAAGUAGGUUGGGGAGCUAUAUUAAAGCAAAAACCCAACAAAUAUUCUCCCAAAACUGGGGAGAAAAAUAUGUAGAUAUGCUUCAGGAAGUUACAAAUUAAAGACAGUAAAUAAUAUUGAUAGAGAAAUUCUUGCGGUAGUUCACACAAUUAAUGCUUUUAGAUUAUAUUUAGGAUUUAAGGAAUUUACAGUACGAACAGACUGUCAAGCAAUAUGUAGAUAUUAUAAUCAGAUUAAUAGCAAGAAAAGUUCAACUAGAAGAUGGGUAUUAUUCGAAGAUACUAUAGCAGGGAAUGGAUAUAAAGUAAUAUUUGGACAUAUCAAAGGUAAAGAUAAUAGUUUGCCUGACAUAUUCUCUCGCUCCUCAAUUUUGCAGCAAUAAAGAAAGGAUCACUUCCUGGAGGACAUGAAGCAUACAUAUUUGGAGAAACGAAUAAGCUCAAAGUAUUUGCACCAGGCACUUUCAACUUCAAGCCUAAAAGUCAUAUCAAAAUUAAUGACACUCAGAGGUGCAUACUGGACAAUUUCUGGUUUCAAUACACCAAUAAAAGAGAAGACCAAGGUUACAUGCUAGCAAUCCUUGAUAGCCUAGCUGAAUACUUUAAUGAAUUAAAUCAAGGCACCCCCAAAGCGCCGCCAAAGGAGAUGCAAAAAGAAAAGGCUAUAUAUAAUAUUUGAUGGAAAUAAGCCAGGAAUAUAUAUGAGCUAUGAAGAUACUGUAAAAGAGAAAUUUGAGGCAAGACGAAGGAAAGAAGACUUAACAUGGAAAAAAAUAUGAUGAUUACAAUGAGGCCCUAAAAUGGGCAAGAGACCUAAUUGGGCAAGAUUACUAUAUAGACCCAAAAGCUAAAGAAUAUAUCGAAAGACGAAGAGGCAUAAGAGCAAUAUAACCACUCUAUCACUUCCUAAAUAUACAAAGGGAGAAGCAUCAAGAUCCCAGAAGGCUAAAGAAGAAGAAUCCCCUAAAUAUGAGACAUACAAAGAAUGCCUUAUCAAAGGAGUUGAUCCUUUGGACAGAGAAUACAUAGAAUUGAAGAUAGAUGAAAAACUUAAAGAAGUUGCAAAGACAAUGAUGGCAGAAUUGAAGGAAGAAAUUUUAAAAGAAUUACGAUCAGAAAUGAACGAAAAUUUUGAAGAGCUAAAGAAAGAAUAUGAUCAAAAAUACGAUUUCAGCAUUUCUGAGACAGGCCAUAUGGACAUUGUCGGGCACGGGCAACCAAUUGAAUAAAGAGGGAAAACAAUAAUAAAAUAUACUCGAAUAUGAAUUGAUAUGAAUAUCAAUUAUUCGGGCGCGGAGGACCUAUACCCAAAUAUUGAAAGAACUCGAAAUGUUAUAAUGUGUUAUCAAUAAUAUGGGCGGGGUAGACCCAUACCCAAAAUUAAAUAAAAACAAAAAUAAAAAUAAUAUUAAUAAUAACAAUAAUAAUGGUAGCAAGAAUAAUUAUGCAAGAAGCAGCCAUGCAACAUCCGUAUCAGGAAAGGUAUUCAUUCAAGACAAGACCCUUCAUCCAAGCUGCAUGAAGACAAUAUUCAACCGUGCAUGGAUAACUCAUAGCACGGUGCAUGCAAGAACAAGAGCUGCAAUGAAGACAAGAGCCUCAGUCUGGACAAAAUCGUCUGUCAAGACAAAGAUUCCAGUCAAGACAAAAGUUCCAGUCAAGACAAAGUUCGCGGCCAAUACAAAUAUUCCACUUUGGAAAAAAUUCUCAGUCUGGACAAAGUUCUCAGUCUAGACAAAAAUAUCAGUCUAACAUCGGAAUCACGCAAGGCCUGAUGUCGCAAACACUAAGGUACUUCAGUGGUGCAUAAGGCGUGUCAAGCUAUGAGAUACCCCGGCCUCCAGCUAUGACGCAGAAGAAUAAAAGAGGGGAGCAUCCAGCAUCCCUCGCGCACUAUAAAAGGAGGAGGACUGAGCGCGGACACACAACAGCAGUCUACACAACACCAGUCUCCAGAGCAUCGUAAGCACCAGAGCACCACUUCCCUCACUCUCCUUAGUAGUAGUAGUAGUAGCCAUCUCCAGUUUGUAAUAAGCCUUUGAGGCAUUGUAUCAUCCAGUGGUGGAGGUAGGCAUAAGGUAGUCCUCCUUUUCUCUUUGUAAUCCCUUCGGGGUCUCCCGAAAGGGAAAUCUGUAAGUAAAUUAUGUUGUCAAAGUGAAGUAGUUUCGGGUUUUACUUGGUUUUUAUAUUAUGAAUUUAUGAAAUGAGUUCUUACGCUAGGGAUCCUAUAGGAGAAACCUCUGCCGGUAGUUCUCUAUUUAGCCGAUGUGUGGCGUUUGAAUGAGAACCUUGUGGCCGUAGAGAAGUGUUCCCUUCGGGUGGAACUGCCUGGGAAGACGGUAGGAAGUCAUCAAAUAAAUUUGUAAUAUAAACAUCAAGUGAAAGAACUUAGCUGCUUCUAAAGCAACGUAAUGAUGAAUACGGAGAGUACCGAGUAGGAUUAACACAACUGCUGCAUACCCGUAGGCUGUCUCGUUGGUUUCGCCAACCCGUAAAAGAUCCUGCAUUUUAAUUAAGAAUUAGUUAAUUAAAUAAUUUCACAAAAUUUAAAUUACGUAAGAAUUUAAUAAAUACUUUAUAUUUUAAUUUAAUAUAUUUUGUGUGUUUAUAGAAAAAUAGAACUGAGCUGUGUAUCGUCUUGAAAAAAACAUAACUUGGGAUGCUGAUAUUAUAGACAAGGUAGGAUGGGAGGCCCAGAGGCCGCUUGAUACCUGCUGGACCCCAAAAAGAAGUUGAAACCAGCUAGAUCAACUGUGUCUGCAUGUCGUGGGCUGCGCAUGUUAAACAAAAAA
rnacentral:lncRNA from 1 species